UACGUAGGGUGCAAGCGUUGUCCGGAAUUAUUGGGCGUAAAGAGCUCGUAGGCGGUUUGUCGCGUCUGCUGUGAAAACCCGAGGCUCAACCUCGGGCCUGCAGUGGGUACGGGCAGACUAGAGUGCGAUAGGGGAGAUUGGAAUUCCUGGUGUAGCGGUGGAAUGCGCAGAUAUCAGGAGGAACACCAAUGGCGAAGGCAGAUCUCUGGGCCGUAACUGACGCUGAGGAGCGAAAGCAUGGGGAGCGAACAGG
rnacentral:rRNA from 1 species